rnacentral:tRNA from 1 species
CAAAAAGUAGCUAACACCACCUAAAGCAUUCAACUUACACUUGAAAGAUGUCUAAAAAGACCUUUUUGAG